rnacentral:misc_RNA from 1 species
GAUGAAGAACGUAGCGAAAUGCGAUACGUAAUGUGAAUUGCAGAAUUCAGUGAAUCAUCGAGUCUUUGAACGCACAUUGCGCCCCCUGGUAUUCCGGGGGGCAUGCCUGUCCGAGCGUCAUUGCGGCCCUCAAGCACGGCUUGUGUGUUGGGCCUCCGUCCUCCUCCCGGGGGACGGGCCCGAAAGGCAGCGGCGGCACCGCGUCCGGUCCUCGAGCGUAUGGGGCUUCGUCACCCGCUCUUGUAGGCCCGGCCGGCGCUUGCCGACACAUCAAUCUUUUUUCCAGGUUGACCUCGGAUCAGGUAGGGAUACCCGCUGAACUUAAGCAUAUCAAUAAGCGGAGGA